CCUACGGGAGGCAGCAGUGGGGAAUAUUGGACAAUGGGCGAAAGCCUGAUCCAGCCAUGCCGCGUGUGUGAAGAAGGCCUUCGGGUUGUAAAGCACUUUCAGUGGGGAAGAAAGCCUUGGGGCUAAUACCCUCGAGGAAGGACAUCACCCACAGAAGAAGCACCGGCUAACUCCGUGCCAGCAGCCGCGGUAAUACGGAGGGUGCGAGCGUUAAUCGGAAUUACUGGGCGUAAAGCGCGCGUAGGCGGUCUGAUAAGCCGGUUGUGAAAGCCCCGGGCUCAACCUGGGAACGGCAUCCGGAACUGUCAGGCUAGAGUGCAGGAGAGGAAGGUAGAAUUCCCGGUGUAGCGGUGAAAUGCGUAGAGAUCGGGAGGAAUACCAGUGGCGAAGGCGGCCUUCUGGACUGACACUGACGCUGAGGUGCGAAAGCGUGGGUAGCAAACAGGAUUAGAUACCUAGUAGUC
rnacentral:rRNA from 1 species